rnacentral:lncRNA from 1 species
UUGGAAAGAGUAUAUACCACUAAUUCACAUUUCAAACACGGACAUAUAAUUGAGUAUCAAUUGAGAUCUUAACAUAUAUUUACCUCCCAAUAAAAUAGAAGCACUCCAAAAAGUCGAGAGAGCAUGUACAAAUUCAAAGCAUAAAAGGAACUAAAUUACAAUAAAGAUAAUGCAUUAAGCCUGAUACUUACACUUGGACGUCCAUUCUUGUCAUAGUGAAUUGCAUAUCUUAUCAACUCUCCAAGCUCCGAAAAUAAUUCCUGUGACGCAAGACCAUUUUCAACAAAUCUUCAAAAGAAACCCAUUGGAAGGAUGAAUGAAAUGUCAACAAGCAUGGUUCAGCUAGUACCCUUAUAUCUUCAUUUGUCACUCCAAUGUCCAAGUUGGAGACAUAUAACUUUGUACCAUUUGCUAAUCCUGACAACCCAGCUGCUCUAAGGCCAUCUUCAAACAGACCAUUCUGCCAUGGCAAAUUCUUGGUUCUGCGGAAGGACUGGUGCAUGCAAACCAGAAAUAUACCAUGAUUGGGAAAGUAAAUGUCAGCAUAUGACCAAGAAAGUAAUAUAAUACCAUUCCUCAAGAUAAAUCAGAUAUCAGCAAAAUUCCACGAAGAAGUCACAUUGAGAUGCUCAAACAACAUAAUCUAAUUCCACGGAAAAUUUCGAGGUAUGUUAAAUUAGAGUAAUGGGUGGCUAGCUGAUUGAACCGACUGCAUGUCAACAGGUGCUAUGAAAAAGGCGAGAGCUCCAGUUCUAAAGUUCAGCGAAAGAAGGCACCUUUGCAAAAACAUCAUGAACUGAUACUGAAAUCUCGCCCCAAAAGUAAGUCCAUCAUUUUGCAAUGGUAUCCAUCAUAAAAUAAUUCCACAAGCAGCGCUAGCACAUGUAUCCAUCAUGAAAUCCCCCUCUAAAACAAUGGCAGCUAAAUAAUGUUUAAAGAUGGCUCAGAAAAUUAAAGCCUUUAGUGGUUAGCGGAUGUUAAAAUGGUGAAAGCGCUCAAGUUUUCGACUAAUGAAGCUCCUCAACAUAAGGUGCAAGGUGUCUUAAUGGGCCACCAAUGAUCUUCUACUUUUGUCAAGAGAAUCCAUAGCAAAGCCCUUGAACAAAAACCCAAACAUGAUAAAAGCACACGUAUCCAUCAUGAACUUCCCAUCUAAACACAAUAAUGGCAGCUAAAUAACGUUUAUAGAUGGCUCAGAAUAUUCAAGCCUUAAGUGGUUAGCAGAUGUUAAAAUGGUGAAAGCUCUAAAGUUUUCAACUAUAGAAGCUCCUCAACGAAGAUGCAAAGUAGCAAAUUGUCUUAAUGGGCCACCAACAAUCUUCUACUUUUGUCAAAAAAAAAUCCACAGCAAAGCCCUUGAACAAAAAACCACAUGAACAGAACUGUGAAGUGGACAGGAUAAAAGCACUAAGAUUAAACAGCUUUUUCCAGUCUGUGGAAAUAUAAGCUUCUCCUUGGACCAAAUAGUAUCACUAAAGGAAAAUUACAGAUCCUUCAUUUGAGUCACUAGAGAUAGCAGACUGUCAACGAAAUGCAUAAGACUUCAAUGUUUUGAGCUUGCCUUGGCAAUGGUGUGAGCUGAUGACCGAGCAUUUAUACCAAGUGGACCUCUGCCAGGAACUUCAGUAGUCCUUCCACCUCUAAAGGAUCCUCGUGAGCCUCUUCCACGCCGAGGCCUGCCUCGUCCUCUGCCUCUAUCACUGUUGCGCCUGCUCUUAAUCAUAUCAUCAAGAGACAUAUCUAGAGAAGCCAUUAAUUAAGAAAACCAAAAAACCCUCUGCUGAACAAAGCAAGUCUGCAAGAAAGAAAGACCAAUUGCAUGUCUCAUGAGUACUAAUGUCAAACAGAUAUAACAAAAGGAAUACAUUUUUAGUGCAAACUAAAAGAUCAAGAUCAAAAUAUUGCAAAACAAUCAACCGUUACUUUCAUAUAUAAGGGCAAUAAAGUAAAAAUUAGCUAAAUAUGACUAAUUAUUGUUGAUGAAAACUAAUACAUUUUUUUAUUAUCUGAAGAAAAAAAUCAAAUUUUAAGAAAAUAUGAUGUGAUGAAUGAGUUUCAUGUAUAUCCUAACUUAGUAAAGCCUAAAUAAUUGACAGCACACUUAAUUAUUACUGGGAAAAACUAGUACAUGUAUUUGAUAUUUGAAAAAGCAUAACAAUUUUUAAGAGAAUGGAUAUGAUAAAUUAACAUGAUGUAGAUCCAAACUUGGCAAUGCCUCGAUAAUGGAAAACAAAUAAUUUUAUUGGCUUCCUUAUUUAAAAGAAGAUGUACAUGUAGCAUGAUUGAUCUGGUUAAGCUGGGGCUGACAAUUUUCUAGCCCUACAAUUUGGUCAUAUCUGAGAAGAUUGGAUCUCUACGGACACCCGUGACUUAUUUUAAAACAAGAAUUUUGCUCGCAUUUCCCUAACCAGAUCAAUCGACAUCAAGAUAAAAUAAUUUAGACAAGCAGAUACAAAAAAAAAUAUACACACACACACACACAUAUAUAUACUUUUCAAAAAUAGAGAUGACUAAACAGAUAUCUAAAAAUUUCUAGCCAAACAGAUGCAUAAGAUGCUAUUCAAAAGAAAACAUGAAACUAAUAGAUCCGACAUCCCUCAAAAUUGCACAAAAAUAUUAAAACAAAACAACAUAGUAUAUCUCGUCGGGGAAAAAAAUCAAUUGACAGGAUUUUCAAAAAACAAAGUUCGGUGAAUUUUUUUAUUUUUUUUUUUAAACUUUAAAAUCAAAAUCCAAAUUAACAAUUCUAACAAAUACGUGGAUAUUAUACAGAACAAAAUAAACAAAAUAAGAAAUAACAGCAAAAUUUGCACGGGUAAAUCAAACUACCUGGAUCAGAUCUAAAAUUUUUCACGACCAAAUUUUCUAAAGAAAAAAUAACCGUAAAUAUAGAUGAAAAUGAGUGGCGAGGAUGAGAUCUGAAAGAGAUGAGAAUGUUGAAUGAUUGCACAAAGCGAGGCUUCGGAGGACCUAGAAUUAGAAGAGAGAUAGGAUACUGAAAGCAUUGACUUCUGACUUUUUGAGAAAGAGGAGACCUGUUACUGUUAGUGCCUUCUAUCCAUUUUAGGGUUGAACCGGACCCUAGAAUCAAAUCGAUUCUUUUAAGCAAAAAUAUUUAAACGAGUAUCAGAAUUAAUAAGUGAUUGGUUUGAUUUUUUUAAUUUUUUUCUUUUUUACAUUAAGGCCUCAUUUGCUACACAUUAAUAUAAAAAUAAUAAUGAAAAAUAUAGUCGUUAAGGGAUCCACAUAAGAUAUAGAAAGUCAAAUAUGAUGACUUAAUGUGAUGGAUAACGAUCAUAUUUUUCAUUUUAACGGGCAAAUAAUGAGAAAUAAACUGGGGCUAAAUAAGACAAUUUUUUUAAUUUUUCAAAAUAAAUUUGUCAACUAGUUAAUUCAGAAAAAAUAUCGUUUUUUUCUAUUUUAUGUCUAAAAUCAAUUUUGUAAUUCAAAUUUCAAAAAAUCAAAAUUGAAUUAUUAAGAGCUUGUUUGGGAGUGAUUUUGAGAAUUGAUUUUUUGACCGUUAUAAUAAAAGUGGGGUCCACCUAUGAGAGAAGAAGUCAAAUAUGACGGCUGGAAUAGUAAAAUAACGAUCAAAAAAUCAAUUUUUCUGGUGAAAAAAUGGGGCCCAAACAGCCCCUAAGUGAGCUGAGUUUUUCUCCAUCAUUCCGUCGUUUCUCAAAAAAUCAAAAUUGAAUGUUGAAUAAUUGCACAAAGCAAAGCUGAGCAGCUGUGCGCAUGUGCCACUCUUCAUCUUACUCAAUUUUUGUCCUAUUCAUUGAAUUUUCUCCACUUUGAUAGAAGUAUUUUGUAUACAUUUAUGAAUAAAUCUUAUUAGACAAUUAUUAUUUGUAUAUUUUUAAAUUGGAUUACGUUAUUUUAUAAGAGUUAUUGUGAUAUUGUUUUAAGAACUAAAAUUGAACAUGUAAUUAGUUGGAUUAAUAUUAUUUUACAGUAAGUGUUAGAAAAUUAAUUAUAGUACGAUACCAAACCGGUUCAGUUCGAUAAUUAAAUUUAGAUCCGACAAUUUUAUUUACAAAAUAUGCAAAAAAUUUGAUUCGAUUCGAUUCUCUUUAGAAUCGGAUCAUGUCCGGCUAUAAUUCAUUUCGUUACUAUUUCUUCUCACAUUUAUGCCUGGGAUAAUUAUUUAAAUGGUCACUAAAUUAUAGUAUUACUACUUAAUAACUGAACUUAAAAAUAUAUCUUAAUAAUUAUUAAAUUAUGCACCGUAUUAUCCAUUCAUCACUCAAGUAAAAAAAUUCGUUAGGUUCAACAAACGAUGUUGAUUUGAGGGAUGGAUAAGUAAUACGAUGCAUAAUUCGAUGACCAUUAAAAUACAAUUUUAAGUUCAAUUAUUAAACACUUUGUUGAUCGCCAUUUUUGAAAACUUAUUUUCAAUUACAUUUUCUCCAAUAAAAUAAUUUUACAUGUAAAUCGAUUUUUUUAACCACGCAUUUUUUAAAAAAUAACUAUUCCAAAAUAUAUUUUUUUCCCCAAAAGGGGCUCAAACAAAGGCCAAGUAGUAACAAUUGGUAAUUUCAAUCAUCAUUGAGAUACAAUUUUAAGUUAAACUAUUAAAAGGUAACAAUUUUUUCUUAACUCAAAUCGAUCUCUAUAAAAGGAGAAACCAAAUAAAAAAAAGAAAAAAAAAAGAGUAGACUGAAAAUCAAGAGUCUAUAAAUAAAUAAUAUAUAUAUAAUUUUAGAAUUAGGUAUCACAUGUUUCUACAAAAAGAUCAAUUUUUCCAUCUUGGGCUCUAAGAAUGAGAUAUAGAAGAUGAAAGGUUGUGAUGUGCCUUGAGAUGGUCAUCUCUUGUUCCCCUGUCAAUGGGGAAUUCGCUUCGGACCGUCACUCUACUGUGUGUGGCCCAUCCUGUAGGCACCUUUGGAAAGCAGGGAAUGUGACAACGUACACACUUUCCUUUACUCCAUAGUGCCUUUUCAUAAGUUGUACGGCUUGGUAGCCUGAAAUUAACUUGGAUUCGCCAAAAUGCCUCAUCUAUAAGAGCUCGGCUCGCGAGACGUCUAUUUCAUGGUAGGGUUCAAAACCUCACCUCGCUCUUGUGACGUGCUAUGUUUCCCCUUUCUAUUCCCAAACAAGGGGUGAGUCUCAUGCGUCAAUUUGUGGAUCGCGGUCUAGUUCCAAAGUGAACAAAUAAUCCUAUCUCUUGCAGAAACUGCUAAUCCUAAAAUUUCCAAAGUGAACAAAUAAUCAUAUAUAAUAUUUUGUCAAAAUCUCAACCACCAUUUCCAAAAAAUCAAUCUUCGUUCAAAAAGUCCAUUUUUUGUGGAAAAAUGACAUACCCACUAGAUAAAAUUCAAUCUUUCGCAGAAAUCUGGGAUGUCCAAUUUCGAAAAGUUCAAUUUUUUUUUUCGAUUUAUACUAGGCCUUGGCACGGUUUGGUUUAGGUUAGUUUCAACUCCAACCCGAAACCAAAAUCAAAUUAGUCGAUUUAGGUGAAUUUCAACCAAAACCAACUCCACUCUAACUCUUAAAUUGACUUGGUUCGGUUGAUAGAUUUGGACUUUUAGUCUAAAUUGAAUUUAUUUUUAAAAAUUGUCCAAGUUUUAGAUUCAAUUAGAUUACAAGAACUAAAAUAACUAAAUAACUUUAUAAUAUAAGAAUCACUUACUAACAAAUAAAAUUAGAUUACUAGAAAUAGAUCAACGGAAAACUUAAGAAUUUUGUUAUCAUUUUAUACAUUAUGUAGCAUGACUAUCUGAGUAGGGAAAAAUGCUAAGUACAAUAUAAUGAGCCUGUGAAAGAAAAUUUUCAAUACUAUUAAUUAUCGGCAACAUCAUAGAUUGGAGGGAAUCGUAAUAUAGUUAUGAGAUUAUGGUUCAUCUUUUGAUUUUUAUUUUUCUUAAAAAAGGUAAAUAUGUAAGUAGGUUGGGUUGGUUCAAUUAACCAGCAUUUUGAGACUUUAAACCAUGACCGAACCAAAUCACUAUGGUUUUUUUUAAAAGAAAAUCAACCCAAACCAAUCACCUGUGUUAAUCGGUUCGAUUUGAUUGAUUUGAUCGAUUUUUUCUUAUUUUUUUGCCCAAGCAUAAUUUAUAGGCUUCUAAUUUUCAAUUUCCUCUUUUUCCCUUCACUUUCGUUGGUUUAUUCUUUUACUGAGAUCGAGUCAAGGAAAGAAGGAAUUGCUACUACUUAAUAACUGAACUUAAAAUUGUAUCCAUAUGGUGAUUGAACUAUAUCAAUUGUUACCACUUAAUAACUGAGCUAUAAAUUAUGCCUUUAUUUGAGUUUUAUUUUUUUAAAACUCAUUUUCAUUAAUACGUUCUCCAACAAAUUAAUUGUAUAUGUAAAUCGAAAAAAUUUCUUACUUUUUAACCACAUAUUCUCCAAAAGCCAACUAUUCGAAAAUAAUUUUUUUCUCCAAAAAUGGGGCUUAACAAGGACUACAUCUAAAUAAUCAAUAAAUUAUACAUCGUGUUACUCAUCCAUCGUUCAAAUAGAAAAAUCCGUUAGGUUUAACAAACGGCGUUGACUUGAGCGAUGGAUAGGUAACACGAUGCAUUGUUCAGUGGUCAUUGAGAUAAAUUUUCAAUUUCAGUUAUUAAAUAGUAGCACUUGGUAUAGUUCUGUGACCAUUCAAAUAAUUAACCUGUUUAUGCCUUUGUUUGAGCUCCUUUUUUUCUUAAGGUUUUAUAAUAAUUAUUUUUUGGAGAAUAUGUAAUUAAAAAGUAGAGAAAAGUUUUGAGUUUAUGUGUAAAUUAUUUCAUUGGUAGAAUAUUUGAUUUAGAAUAAGUUUGAAAAAUGUUAAUUUUUGGAUAAUGAAAAUCAAACGAGAGCUAUGUGUUUGUAAAGGUGAGGCGUCGAUCGGGUAAUGGACUUUUUAAUCUAUAUUUGGAAGAUCUAGGAAAGUGGAAAACAUUUUUGUAAAUGAAAAAGAAAAAUCAUGAAAAUAGAAAUAUAAAGUAAUUUGUUCCUUUGCAAUCAACAAAUAAAUAUUUAAAAAUUUGUGAAUUACUAAAAUUGCGAAUUCCCAAAAAUUUUGGACCUAAAAAAGCGGCCAUGAUUACAUGGGCGGAUGGAGGGGAUCAAGCCGGCCUCAAGUCCUUCUAGGUUGGGCCUUGCCAGUAGGACAUAAUUCUAUCCAACCAGGGGGCAUGUAGAAUUAUUCUCCUAGAUUUAUACUAACGAAUUUUCUAUUAAGUUUUGCUACACAUACACACGUUCUCACAAGAGAAAGGCUCAUGCUUUUUUUUUUUUAUUGGGCAUGGACCCCUCCCUCUUGUGAAGAAUGGGUACAUCAGAGCGUCAACGUCAGUGUACAAAUAGCAAAAUUCUUUUAUAUUUGAUUGAAGGAGCGUGGACCCCACCAUCUUGCAAGGGACGUGUACACCAAAACGUCAACGUUGGUGUACAAAUAGCAAAAUUCUUUUCCAUUUGACCAAAGGAUGUCUUAGAUAGGUACUUCAAUCGCAUGUCAUUUUGGAUUGAGAUUCUUUAUAACUACUCGAAAUUAUAGUUGUAGUGGAAAGAGAUANNNNNNNNNNNNNNNNNNNNNNNNNNNNNNNNNNNNNNNNNNNNNNNNNNNNNNNNNNNNNNNNNNNNNNNNNNNNNNNNNNNNNNNNNNNNNNNNNNNNNNNNNNNNNNNNNNNNNNNNNNNNNNNNNNNNNNNNNNNNNNNNNNNNNNNNNNNNNNNNNNNNNNNNNNNNNNNNNNNNNNNNNNNNNNNNNNNNNNNNNNNNNNNNNNNNNNNNNNNNNNNNNNNNNNNNNNNNNNNNNNNNNNNNNNNNNNNNNNNNNNNNNNNNNNNNNNNNNNNNNNNNNNNNNNNNNNNNNNNNNNNNNNNNNNNNNNNNNNNNNNNNNNNNNNNNNNNNNNNNNNNNNNNNNNNNNNNNNNNNNNNNNNNNNNNNNNNNNNNNNNNNNNNNNNNNNNNNNNNNNNNNNNNNNNNNNNNNNNNNNNNNNNNNNNNNNNNNNNNNNNNNNNNNNNNNNNNNNNNNNNNNNNNNNNNNNNNNNNNNNNNNNNNNNNNNNNNNNNNNNNNGGUCAACUGCUUUAACACUAAGUGUGAAUCAAGUGAUCAACUAAUGCAUGCCUAGGCCGGCAUAGGUGUGCCUAGGAGGCGCUUAAUUAUUUUUUUAAAAACCCUUUUAUUUAACUUUAAUUUAUUAACUUUUUUAUUUUAUUAUUUUUUCUUUUUCUAAAUGGCUUUUAUUUGACUUUAGUUUCAAAUUUUUAAAUAAAGUUAUUUGCACAAAAGUAAUCCAAUAAAGAUUUAAAUAAAAUUUAAGUUACGGUACUAUCUAUAUUAUAUAAUUAUAUUUUGAAACUUAUCGUUUUGUUGAAAACUUUAAAAGUAUGUAUAAGUUCUCAUAAAUCUGUUAAGUAGGACUUAUCUAGUUGAAGUUAAAAAAUAAUCUAGUUUUUGCAUUUCGAAAACUUAAAAAUUGUAUAAGUAACUAAUUGUAGAAGUUAUUAAAUAUAAUAUUUUAUUGUUUCAAAUCUUUGGUAUGUAUUAUUUUAAUUAAAUUCAUUUUAGAAUGAUUAAGUACUUAAAAUAAUAAUAAAAAUAAGUAACUUUUUUUACGCCAAGGCCUCGCCUAAGCUCGUAAAGCUUGAAGCUUGUCAUAUCUUACGCCUUUUAGAACACUGCUUUUAACAAGUGAUACGCAUAUGCAGUAAUGUGAACAUAUUCCGCUUCUGACUCCCACCUAAAAAAUAAAAAUAAGAAUCCAAAGAAAACCUAGUUGGGCACAGCAAUAAUUGUGAUUGUGUAGGGUUGAAAUCAUAUUACUCCUAAAGAAGUAGGAAGAUUGAUGAUGGCAUGUGCGCAAUACAAAUCUAGUUUUUACUUAAACAAGGGACAACAACUUACAUCAUCCAGCAGCAUACUGUUGCAGUAAUAAUCAAUGUCAGGUGUAACCUGCAACAUGAAAUACAGUUAGCAAUAUGCAAGGCAGGAGUCACCACCGUUGCCAAAGCUAUGUGAAUGAUCAAGAGUAUAGCAAACAUCUAUUCAAUAUUUUACCUAGCAUAACACGUUGAAUGAGUCCCACCAAUAAAGUUAAUGGCACCAAACUCUUAACAGGUAUGAUUACAACACUGUGAUUGGCAUUAUUAAUUGGAUUCAAAUAUUCAAGACAUGACAUUAAAUUAUAAAACUAUAUUAAGAGCCUAUCUGCAUGACUUUUAAUGUGUUUGGUAAUUUUUUUAAGGAAAGUGCUCACAAGUGAAGAAAGAAGAUACUUUAAGAGCAUGUUUGACUGAGGGGCAUGCUUUCAGGCACAAGCCUCAGGUCAAUUAGGUGUGCACUUCUCAAACUCUCCCUUUCUUCACUGAUUUAUAGUUUUACCAACUUCAGUCUUUUAGUCUGUUUUAUUUCAUACCUCGAGCAUUUUAAGGGACUUUUGGAAUGUUUUAAACAUACCUCAACACAAAAACUAAAUGAUAGGAAGAAUUUGAGUAGAAAAGGGAAGUGAAAAGUCCAUGCAUGCUAAGUCCUCCGCUCUUAAAACUGCCAUACAUCAUCCCAUCGGUUAUGUUGCAGCUUUUUGGUGACAGAAUGAGGUGUGCCUGAUAAGUUCUCCCUAUUCUGUUUUCUUUUAUAAUUCUUUUGCUACCUCCUGUCUUUUGGUUUUCUUUCCUCUCAUUUAUCUUUAAAAAUGAGUAAGCACAAAAUUCUUUAGAACAACUGAUUAGCUGUUUCAUUUGUUAAAAGACUUAGUUGCUGAGCAAUCCUACUUUUUGUUAAUUGUCAGUUGGGUUAUAUUUUUAUUCUUCUAUUCUAGGUAUUGCUUGCACUAGUUUGAGUGUUUCCUCUCGAAUAACUUUUUCUCCUUUUACUUGCUCUUUGCUUGGUUAAUUAUCAUUCACUCGAAGACUGAAAUUAUGUGUUAGAUUUAUAUUCUUGAAUAGUAGAAUUUGGAUUAAUAAGCUAAAUGUUAAACUUGUUAACAUUGUUUUUUUCUUUUUCGUUACUUUCAUAGCUUUAUCAUUUUCUUGAUUUAUUUAUUAGCUUAUGUUGAAGUUUAUGCUUCAAAAUGUUUUGAUUUAUACUUGGAAGCAUCUCUAGGCUUGAAAUCCCAUAAUGGAUGUAAAUACCUUGACACACAGUUAUCAUUUAUAAUUUUUAAAACAUAGAUCCUUAACACACUACAGUCUAAUUGGAGGCAUCAAUCCAACUGUAGCCAGGAAAAGAUUCAUAUUUCAUUCAUCAAAACACUAGCAUCUCGCAAGUUGCAAGUCCAACAAAGUAUUCACCCUCAAACUAUUGCUGAUUAGUUCUAAGAAGUAUCUAACAAGCAAAAUAACAUUUGUUUCAUAAAUAAAAUUCCAGCUAUCAGACAUGAUUAAGAUGGAAAACUUUAUCUACGAUAAUAAAUCAGCUCAAGGUGCGGCUCCUUCAUCCAAAAACCCAUAUAAUAACAAAAACCAUCUCUCCUUGAUAUCGUAAGUACUACAAUAGUAAGAAUCGGAUUGUUUGAUGAUACACAGCCAGGGCAGACAAACAUUAGCGUUAGCUUGAUAAUACAUUCAAAUACUGAAGUCAAGAAACAAUUUGCGAUUCAAGGAAUGCGAUGAAGAACUGGGUAAAAAUCAUCUAAUCAAACUCAAACUCAAAACAAAAAAGAAAAAAAAUGAUGUUGAGAAAAAAAAUAAACGCACAGAUUUGCAGAGGGUCCUCUGUUGCAGCAGAUUCUAGUGCAUAGAGACGCGAUGAUCCCAACCACAAGGAAAAUAAGGGUUGUCACCAGAAACCCCAUGUCCAAUUCGAUCUCUAUUAUUUCUGCGACAAUUAUUUCCAUGUCAUAACAUUUUCCAGAUCUAUAAUUUCUCAAAAAGCCAAACAUAUUAUAAAUCGAUCUCAAAUUGAAAAUAAUAUCGAAUUUAAAAAAAUAAGAUAAGUAUAAUUAGGUAUUUGGAGAACAAAAAUUACCCAAAUUGACUCGCAGGAUAAGGGUUCUGUGAACAAAUCUGAGACUUUUCUAAACACAGUUUUCUAGAGAAAAUUAUUAUGGAACGGAAGGAAAAAAAUGGGAAGAGAUCAGAAGAUGUAGAUUUGAGGAAAAAUAAAUAAAAGUGAAUUUAUGUAGGGUUUAAUAAUGGGUGUUCAUUGAUUGUUUUUUUGAUAGCAGAAUGGGAGAUUAUUUAUUUAUUUAUUUAUUUAUCUUUUGGUACCAGAUUUGUGGAUUUGAGGGGGGAAGGAGAUAACAAAUAUUAAUUUGGUGGAUUUUAGAUGUAGGGAAGUAUGUUUUCUUCCGUUGAAAAGUAUUUUUCUGAUUUAAAAAUUUAUAAAAAGAUAAGUUUAGGUCCACUUGCUAAAAUUUAUUUUAUAAUUAUAAGUUACGAAUCAUAUAAAUUAUAUAAAUAAAAACGAUAGUUUAUACAAUAAAAAGUGAUGAGGUAAAAUUUUUCUGAUUCGAAUGAAGAGCUCUCUUUAUCCGCCUUCGAACUUUAAAAACAAGCUUCUCCAAUGAGCUUUGACAAAAAUAGUUUUACUCUCAAUAUUGUGAAUUUGACAUUUUUACCUUGUCUCGCUUGACAAAUAGGAUGACAUAAAAUGUGUAUAUAUUUUCUUCCUUUUACUUAUUUUUAUUUUAUUUUGUCUGUCUAAUUUUACGAGAACUUAUAUAUCAACCUCUGAUAAAUCCGUAGCUCAUAUUCUCUUCUUUUUAAAUUGUUCAUAUUGUCGCUAUUGCUGUUGUUGUGAAUUGCGAUCAAGUGUUUUGGGUAGAAAUUUAGAAAAUAAGUCCAUGUUUGACAAUCUUUAAAAAUUUAAAUUGUUUGCUACAAUAUCAUCUUUCACAAUACAUUCACAUAAUAAAAUAUUCUACACACAAAUAAAUAAAAUUUUUCACUUUUUAACCACAAAAUUCUUCAAAAAUACUGUACUAAACUCUUUAAUUUUUCAAAUAAAGGGAGUCAAACAUGGCCUAAGAAAUGAGGAGUGUCAUUUUAAAUGGAGAUAUUUUGAAUUAUGAAAAGCUGACUCAAAAAUAAGAUUUAUUGUAUGAAAAUUUUUUAAUAGAAUGUUAAAUAUUCAUUCUUUAUCAAUACUUUGAUCAUGCUUGGGAAACAUCUUUUAUACUCUCCGUCCCAUUUAUAUAAGUUGAUAUUAUUUUUCACAUGGAUUAAGAAAUUUUAUUUAAUGUUAUUGAAAAAGUAAUUUUUAUUAAAAAAUUUCCUAAUCUACCCUUAAUUAUAUUUUUACAAUUUCAAGAUUAAAUGGAAAAAAAAAGUGAUCAUAAUUAGGCAUAAUAAAUAAAGAUAUAUUAGUAAAUAAAUAAAAUAAAAUGUUGUCAAUAAAGAAACGAGAAUAUAUAAUUGGAAUUAAAAAAAAAAGGAAAAUCAGCCCAUAUAAAUGGGACGGGAUUAUAUUCUUACUUAACAAAUCCAAUGUUAAAUAAAAAUAAGCAAAAAAGUAAAAGAAAAGGAAAUGGGUCAUCAAAUAUCGAGACAUUCUUAGCCAAUUCAAAAAAGGGUAAUAAUGAUGCAAUUUUGAGAAUUACGAAGGUUGGAUUUCGAAUGAAUAGCAUUAAUAUAAAAACUAACACACAUUAAGACCAGUUGAGCACUAUAAAAUAGUUCAAGAGGUCAGCAUUAACUAAAUUUGUUCUAAUACGUUGAGUCGGGCUUAGUUAAUUUAUGCACAAUAAUUUAUAAUUUAAGGGUCCGUUUGACAUAAUUUUUGCUUUUAUUUAUUUUUUUUUUUUGUAGAAGAGCUUUUGAGGAGAGAGAAAAAAAAACCCAAUUUUUUGUCUGAAAACUAAUUUUCUAAAGAAUUUCCAAUUUCAAAAGUGCUUUUAGAGAUAAUCAAAAUUGGACUAGCUUCCUCUAAAUGCUUUUUUAACUAGAAGAAACACUUUUAUAAAAUUAGUCAAAUAAGUCCAAAAAUAAUUUUUGAAUCUUAAAAUCUCCUUUUGAAUUUUCAAAACUCAUUCCAAAUGGACCCUAACAGGAUGUGAUAGAGAUUCUCCAAAUUUAGGGAGUCGCAAAACUUAAAAGCUUUAUAAAAUUUUACCUAGGGUUGCGUAUGGGAUGGGUUGAAUUGGCUUUUUAUCAAAUUCAAACACAAACACAAACCUAAUCCAACAUGGUCGAUUUGAUCUAAAAUCAAACAAAUUCAACACAAUUAUUAGUUUAAACCCAACAAAACCCAAACCGAUUAAGGUUGAAUUGGGUUGGUCGAUAUGGGUUUGGGCCAAUUUCAAGUUGGAUUUGAUUGUUUUUUAUUGAAUUUGAACAAUUUUUUAAGUUUGAAAUCACUUGAAAAUCUCCAUUAUUUUUAAUCUAUAUAAGAAAUUAAAAUUAAUUUAUAAAUAUGUUUGAAAUCGUGGAGCAUUUUUUUUUUAAUUUAUUCAUUUCAUUAUCACGUCCUUAAUUUUUAGUUUAUCGUUAAAUUAUUUUGCAUUUAUAUAUAGUAUUCAUACCAAUUAGUCUAUAUAAAAAAGAGAGACGUUUAUACAUUCUAAAUUAUUCUAUUAUCUCCACUAUUGUGUCUAUUUAAUUUUUUUUUUUUUUCAUUCUAGGUACUAAAUUUUUUAAUUCAACGGAUUGGGUUGGAUUGGAUUUUAAUCCAUAACCCGAAACUCAACCCAACCUCAAAUUUAAUUUUUCAAUCUAACUCAAUCUAAUCCAACCCAAUUAAACUUCAAAAAAUCCAAGGUUUGGGUUGAUUUUUGCCAAGCCUUAAUUUUACUUAGAUGUUUGAUGGGUAUUAAAAUUAGAUUUUUUGGUAGAGAAAUUUUUAAAUUUCUGGUUAAAAAGUUGUGAGAGUCAUGAAAGUUAUGAUUAAUAUUGAUUGUUUGACUUAAACUUAAAUUAAAAUCAGAUUUUAAUCAUAAUCAAACAUGGGCCUAAUCAUGGAGAGCACAUGGUGCAACUCAUUUGAUUUGGAGAAUGUUUGCUUUAUAAACAUGUAUGUAAUGUUCUAAUGUUGGGUUACAAAGUUUGGUAUUCGAACUAUAGAUGUAUAACUCCAUGAUGAUUGUUUGGGACUAUAGAUUAUUAAAUACUGGCGCCCCCGAGGCAUAGCUCAGUGGUGCAAAGGACAGGAGUGAAGUUAUCUCACGCCUUACUGACAGCCGCAGUGUAAAGGUUCGAUUCUUGAAACAUGAAAUAGAACUCCUUGUAGGCGCAGUGUACAGGCAACUCUUGUUCCCUGACCUAUUGAGGCACAUCUCGCGAUUUACCUCCCUCAUAAAGCUCUAGAGACGGGACGAUAGGACCCUUAAGAUUGGAGUUCAACUUUUUCUUUUUUUAUUAUUAUUAAAUACUGGAUGGUUACGGGAAAAAAAACACUCGUAACCACAUUUGCAGCACCUGACAUCAUCAUUCGAACAUGUGAAGAUUCCAAUAAUUUCCACCCAGAUGGAGACAUGCUAAUAAAUCAAGAUUCCAUGUGGGCCUAAGCGCCUGAACCAGCACAUCUUUGUAGGAUUUUACUGUAGGAUUUAGAAACAAGAGGACACAGACACUUUAUUUUUUCACUGUUCUUGUCCAAAUUGUCCUAACAUGUUUAGUCAGUUUGGACGUGACUUCUUUUUCUUUUCCUUCUUUAAUAUUGACUAUCGUAAAAAAUAAUAAAAUAAAAUAAAAUAAACUUAGUCACCAUCAUACCCGAAUCCAAUAAGCCUCUUAAUCAUCUGGUGCAGUAUUUAAAUCAUUUGAGAGAAGUUUGCUGCAGAAUUCUUAGUUCUCGACUAGCAUAGUAUCCAAAUUUGAACUAGAUUUGAUUCAAGACAGUAUUAUUCGAACACAUCUAGAAACCCAACGCCAAAAAUUUAAAGGUGCAUUGAUCAACGAUGUUUGAUCCUUCCAGCAUAGUCGGUCCUGGGCCAAAGCAUUUGAAGCCUACGCCUCAUGUCCAAAACCAAAGGGGGCCUAAUUUUGCCCCCCCCCACCCCCCCACCCCCCCUACCCUACCCUUUUAAUUUUGUAUUGUUUCCGUAAAUUUGUAAUGCUCAAAUUUUUGCGUAAAUAAUCGAAAAUGUUAUUGGAUGUGCAAAAUGGAAAAUGGGAAUUUGUUCAACUUAUCUUGAUCCAAGAAUGUGAGUCCUACUUAAACCUGCAUCACCUCUGGUAUCUAUUUACUAUUUAGUGUCCUUGACUGGCAUAAGGCAAUAGGACAUUGUGUAAUGAUGAAAUUUUUAUUUCAGGCUUAUGAAUUGUGAUGGUUGAAUUCUCAAGGUGCGAUUCCAUAAUUAUCAUCGAAAAUUUACUUCUCAAUUCGACAACGACUUGCUCUAACUUGUUAUUGAAUAUGUUGAUAAUGUUUGAAACCUUGUCGGCUUAUAUAAUUGGUUAUUUUAUGAUCAACAAUUGUAUGAGCGUACGUAGUAACUAUAUUGAAAACUCUAAUUGUGAGAUGAUUGAGAUAUUUUGUAAUUAUCUUUUAGGUUAAUUAUUGAGCAUUAGAUUGCAUAAUAUACCAUUGAAAUAAUAUAUUUUUUUGUUGUUUUAAUGAUAAGUUUUAAGUUUUGCAUUUAUGUUGAUUCCGUCGGGGGCCCAAUUUAUGGACUUCACCUCGGGGCCCGACGAUCACAGGACCGGCCUUGCCUUCCAGUCGAGCGCUUUGACUAAGGAAAUGGACUACAAAAUAAAUGACAUGAUAGUCGAUAUUUGCCGAGAAAUCAAGCAGUUUAACAAAUGACAAUCUCAACAGACAGAAAUACUUGAAACAAACCCCAGAUUAGCAUCAAUCUCUUAAUGUUCAGACGAGCAUUAAGUACUCCCCAAAUUAAUGCAGCUAGUACAACUACACCACAAACAAACAUCAUAGAAAGGGGAAAAACAAAGGAAGACGCCUACUAAAUAACAUAAACCUUAAAAAAAACCGACAGUUAAAGACAAUCUAAGAAACCUACACCAGUUGCACAUCUAAAGCAACUAACCUUCCAAGCCAUUUGGUGCAGUCUGAGGCUUCACCUUCCUCGGCCUUCCCCUUGGCCUUCCCGUCUUUGAAACAGCCUGAGGACCGGCAGCUGGCUUUGGCUUCUUCGGUUCAGGUAACGAAUUUGGGUCCUUCCUUGGACGUCCUCGGCCACGCUUCGGUGGGGCUUCGGCUCCCGGUCUCAGGUAGUUGUUCUUGAUGAAUAAUAGCUCCCCACUGUCCUUCAUUGUAGUCAAAUGAGCUGAUAACAAGUUUACAUGCGCAGCAGGCAAGUCCUUAUACUUGGAUUCUAAGUAUUCCGAUAUUGAUGUCUUGUUUGCUCCCUCCUUUUGUUUCAAUGAAUCCAAAGCUUCCAUAAUCAUCUGCAAAAAUGCGAAAACAGUGAUGUAUAAUUUUUAAUCUCUGAGAAAAAAUUUUCCUUCGGAAAUGUCUGAACAAUGCUGUCAUACAUUGGCGAAAAUUGCUAGUGCUCGAAAAAUCAAAGCUGAAAAUUUAACAACUAGUGCAAGUUUUGUGAAGCUUAAGAAAUUUACUUAUGAGUAACUCAAGGCCCAUUUGAAAGGACUUUUGAAAAGCCAAAAACUACUUUAGACUACAAAGAUGCUUUUGACUAAAGCUUAAGAAGCUCUUCUUCAAGUAGCUGAACUCCCACCAAACUGACCCGAAAUAAUUUUUGUGUUGGUCAAACUUGGAAAUAAGUAAUAGCAUUACCAUACCUUCAACACAAUCACUUAUUUUACUGGUAAUAAAAGAGUACCUUGUUAAACAUUUUUGUAAACAAAGAUUAACUUUUAGGCUUAUAGCUAAACACUGCUGUCAUAUAAAGGUGAAAAUUUUAGCGUUUGAAAAAUAAAAGCUGAAAUCUUAACAGCGAGAAGAUCUAUAAUUUUUACAAAAUAAUAAUUGGUAAAAGAGAAUUAAUUUCUAUGAUUUGUUCCAAAAACAAGUUUGAACACCCAUAAAAAAAAUGCCGAAAUUCAAAUUAAUCACUUGAAACAAAGUGGGUAUACAUAAAACAUACAAGUAAAACAGCUAAUUUUUCAUUAACCUCAAAACUGAAAAACGAGGGUUUUAGAGAGAGUGAAAAAAGGCUUCUCUGCAAACUCAAAACCUCAAUUUCGUCCAUAAAAAAGGGGAAGAAACAGCUCAAAAUUUUAAUAAAAUUAAAACAAUAGUCUGGGUACAGGUUCUAAAAUUACAUGCAAAAUGGAAAUUAAGUCCUAGGAUGCAAUAAAACCUUUCAAUUUUACCAUUUUACCUGUCGGUAUGGAGGGAUUGCUGGACGUUUGCUGACCUCUUCAGUCGCCAUUGAAACUUUUCUCUGAGAGUACUGGUGGCCGUGGACGGUCUUGCUUGAGGUUCAAAGAGCACAGUGGAAAACUUAUUGAUAAAUUAUUACGAGGGUUUCGAGUUGUGAAGUUAAAACAUAAGUAAAUAAAAACGAAUUGCAUUGCAAGUCCCCCAACAUAUGAAUAUUUUGUAGUAAGUGGAUUUUUGAACUUUUCUUUACAAAUUGAUCUCAACCUUUUACUUUACAAUAUUUGAAAAUUCGGUAAAUGAGUUUUCAUCUAUCUUGCCUUCGGAAAGUUUAGAAUUAUUUGUAUUAUUAUCAAUUAAAAGAAAUAAUUUUCCUCCUCAACUUGAUCACAAACUUCAACACGCGUGAAUCAAGAAUGAAUAGUAGGAAUGUAGGGUGAUUAUUUUGGGAUAAAUGAAUAACAUGGUCGGAUGUUUGAAAAAUUAACGGAAGGCAAAUGAGUCGAUGGAUGAUUUAGACAAAGGAAAUGAAGGUGGUGGAAUACAAAAAAAGUUAAUAACGUAACGGGCAGGUAAAAAAAUAAUCAUCUUGAAGAUGGACAAGUAAUGUGUUGGGACUUCGAGUUUGGGGAGGGAGGGCUUUGGAAAGCGAGUUAGGACUUGGGCUCAGGUAGGGAGGAUAGUUGAUGAAAGUUGUCUUCUUUUUUUCUUUUUUUUUUCCCUAAUAGUCAUCGUUCUUAUCUUUUUAUUUUGUAUUUAUUUUUCUUCGAAAUUAAUUUGCUUAUCUAUUUUACGCGCCCAUUUGGUCCUCAUUUUUUGGAUAUGAAAAUGGAUGGAAUAGUAUAUUUUUCAAAAAUGAGUGGUUGAAAAAAAAAGAAAAUUUUUCUAUUUACAUGUAAUAUUAUUUUACGAAAAAUUAUUUGGUUAAAAAUAGAAACGAGAAAAAUGAAAUGAAAUUUAAUGAGAUUCAAACGAGGCUGUCUCAAAAAGUGUAAAACGCGUGAGGGUCACGUGACUCUUAAAAAGAAAUAUUGAUGAAACCAUCACAGGUCUAGAUGUUACAACUUUAUUAGGUUAGGAUCAAUCUGUUAAAAUUAUUGGAGCCCAACUUGCUAUAACACAUAUAGAUUCGGGACUUCUGCUACAAUUUUACCAUUAAACAAAGGUAUCUUUUUAGAAGGCAAUGGACGGUAAAGAUUGGGGAAAGGUUCGUGAUCGUACGGAGAGAAGUCGGUCAAAACAGGGUCACAAGAAUCGAUGAUGCGGACAGGGACUCAACGGGAAUUGAAUGCUUUGCGCACAUUUUUCGAUUAAUUUUCUAGGAUGUAUUUGGCAGUUAAAACAAAUUGGAGACAUCCCCAAAAUUAGUUUCAAUCAAUGCUAUAAUUAAUUAUGUUUAUUAUAAUUCCAUAAAUAGUUGUACAUAAGAGCCCCAUUUUUUUUUUUUAUGAAAAUGUAUUUUUUAACAGUGUUUUAAUCGUAUUUCAAUCACACAUUUUUCAAUAAAAUAAUAUUAUACAAAAAUUCAAAUUUUUUUCUUAUUUUCUAACUACACAUUCUCCAUCAUAACACUAUUGAAAAAUGCAUUUUUUGAAAAAUACAAAAAUGUGACUUAAACAACUCCUAAAUGGGUUAUAGGUCAAAAAUAUCUUAUUAUUCAUUAUCAUGAGCUUAUUUAAGAGAGAUUAAAUUACAAAUUCUAUAAGUCACGAUUUAUUUCACGGUCAUAAAUUAUCAAAUUAAUUGAUUACAGUUAUGAUCACAAAUUAUUAAAUUAAUGGAUUACAACUUAACAAAAUGUGAGUCGGGAUUACAAAUUUAAUCGAAAUUUCACAUUUUUUAGGUCAUUAUUUAUUGGUUACAAAUUAUAUAUUUUAUCAAUCACAUGUUAUUUAUUGGUCACAAACUGACUAAUUUAUUAACUACAAUCAAUCAAAUAAUUGGUCACACAACCUACCACCAUCAACAUUGCUGUUGCCACCUCAUCGCCAUAGCUAGCACCACCACCAACUACAAACACCACCCAAAAUCACAACACAACCACCGCAAAAUCGAGAUUCAAAUUAAGAGGGCUUCGAUCUUUAAAAACUAAAAUUGUCCAAUAACAACCUCACAUUCCAAAUAUAUAAGUUUUCAGACAAGUGGCUGUUGAUGAUGGCUGCUAUUGCGUUGCAUCAAGAUCUUGGGAGUAGAGGCAUUAAAGAUAUGACUGUUGAUGCGGCCACUACCUCGUCUUAGUCUAGAACACAAAGUUGGGCUUGGAGAUUGAAGUGGCAUUGAACUUCAAGAAAACGAUCGAAGAUCUACUUUUCCUUUGUUUACAAACCGAUUUGGGCCCUGACAUUAACACACAUUGAUUGAGAAUUUGCUUCUACGUGAAGAUUAACACGCAAAUUAUCACACACUAGUCGGAGAAGAUUUGUUUCUCCGUCAUAUCGAAGAUUAGCCUCUCAAUCACUUAAGUCAAUGCGCGUAGCGGCAUCGAGCGGCACUCACAGUGGCUUGUUGCUCUCAAAGUGAUGCCAUCGCGUCAACAACAUAGUAAGCAGCUAAGUGUCGCUCCGACGGUUCCUUUAAUGAUAGUGUGUAGUAAAUGGAAGAAGAGAGAUAUAGAGAGAGAAGGGAGAGGACAAAAUAAGUAUUUGGGAAUGAAAUUUGGUGGGAUGUAUGAAGGUAGGAUGGGUAUAGAUUAAUUUAAUUUUUAUAAUAUCAUUAUUAAUGUUAAAAUGUGGAAUUAUCACCUGAUUUUUGUAUAAACAAAUCUCAAACAUGAUUUCAAACUUAUAAAGCCCGCCUUCAUGUAAUUUCUACAUAAAUAAAGCCCAUGCACAAAAUUUAGAAAUAGACUGCCCUCCAUAUAUAGGAACAAUAAAGCUACUUGUACAAAGUUGGGUUACAAAGUGUGUUAGCAAAAUUCAUAGCAUCGAUUUGAAAUUAUUUAAAAAUCUAUGUUUGAAAUGAUUGGUGUGGAUGUUAUUUUGUUAACCAACUUUGUAACCCAUCUUUGUAAGUGUAGCAUAGUUCAUAUAGGAAUGGUCUGAUACAAAUUUUUUAAGGACGGCUCACUAAACUUCAAAAUGAGCCCCGGCUUCACCCCACAGAGGCCCUAGCCUUAAAUAUUUACUCAUGUUUGACUCCUAUGUUUAAAAUUUAUUUUAAUCAUAUAUUAUCUUAUUAAAAUAGUUUUUUUUUUAAUGUAGAUUUAUAAUUUCUUUCUAACUUCUAAAUAUAUAUUCUUCAAAAAAUCACCGUUCACAAAAUUAUGCUAAAAUAUCUUUGCUAAAUGGGGGUUCAUUUCAUUUUGCUUAUGAAAUUUAACUCAAGAGUAAAAAUAGAAAUCUACUUGAAUAUCGGAUUAAAAUUAAUCAUUGUCCAUGACAAAUGAUAGUUAACUCUAAUAUAUACUAUUUUUAGAUACUAGUAGAUCAUCUCUAUUUAACUUGACAAUCUUCCGUUAAUUAGCAUAGAAUUUUGGAUGAGGAUUAAAAAAAAAUCUUAAUUAAAAAUAAUAAAUCACACCAAUAUACAUUAAAGCCCUAUUUGGUGAUGAUUAAAAUUAAUAUUUUAAUAAAUUUUAAUAAAAAUUGAUGAAAUGUAUGGCUGAAAUUACAUAAUACUUUACAUACCAUUUUAUCAUUCUUCGAAAAUUUAAUUUUUAUUAAUCUUUCGUCCAAGAAAUUCCUUCCCCCCCCACCCCCCACCCCUCUUACAUCUAUAUUAAUUUUAUAUACAUUCAAGUAUCUUGACUACAUUAUUUUUUUAAGCAUUGACAACACUAUCAACAUUACAAUUUUUAAUUCCAUUUUUACACAAAAUUGUAUAAUUUUAUUUAUUUCCCCUCUUUAAAGUUUUCUCAUAAAAAAGAAUAUCAAAAACAGAAAAAAAAAUAUGAAUACUAUAAAAUUUGUUAAAUUGCACAACGCUACGAAGCUAUAACCUCAACUUAAAAUUAAAUUGAAAUUCAUGCAAACUAUAAAUCAUAUAAUUUAUUUUUUAUUUUUAUUUUUUUUCAAUUAUCAUUGAAUAUAACUUAUUUAUUGGACGAUGACAACUAAUAAUCUUCAUUUGUCCGUUUGAUAACGUUGUAAGAAAUCAAAUGAAGUUUUUGCUAUAUGUUCCAACACUAUUAAUUUAAUAAAAUUUAUUUUGUGUUUAUUAAAGAUGUAUUUAAAGAAUAUGAAGAUCAUAAUUUUUUUGUAAAGCAUGUAAUUUAAUACUGAUUUAUUAUUAUUAAUUAAGGGUGUUUCUUUCUGUUUAGCAAUUUACAAUCUCAUGAUUUUAGAUAUUUCUAUUUUCAUUGCAAAAUACGUUUUUUGUAACCAAUAACAAAAAUAUAGUCUGCGUUAUAUCGUAUGGAAAUUGAUAUACCCAAAAUGCAGUUAAUUUUGUAAAUUUCCCUUCUUUUAUUUAAUAUAUGUUGUAAAUGAUAAGUUUAUUAUUGAAUGACAAUUGUAACACAAUAGCUUAGUUAUCAUUAUUAUUAUUUUUAUAUAAUUCAAGGUCUUCUUUUGAAAAUAAGGGGUCCAAUUGCCACUCGUUCUCACCUAUCUUCCAAUUCUCGCUCUUGCCGUCAUUAUCCACUUGCGUCUAUUACCACCAACUGCUGCCUCCACCCGCCGUUAGAGUUGAUCUGAUUUUAUCCUUUUCCAUCUAUCGUCGAAACCAGACCAAAGCAACACCAAGCGUCGACAAAUUGAAUGGCCCAAAAACACCUACACAAUGUCCUCCUAGAAAAAAAAGAGGGAAAAGUUUUCAUUUCAGGUAAUUCUUCUUCCUCAUCACAAUAUAUAUACGUGUAAGUGGAUAUACAGACAUAUAUACAUACACGUAUGUGUAAUAAAUGCUCGUGUUGUGAUUUGGAUUCUGAAAUAGUAGAUCUUGAUGUGGGAUGAAGUUUCUGUAUUUGUUAAUGGCUUUACCUAUUAGAAUUUAUGCAAAAUGUCCAUCAAUUUUAGAUCUUGAUGUGGGAUGAAGUUUCCGUGUUUGUUAAUGGGUUUACCUAUUAGAAUUUAUGCAAAAUGUCCAUCAAUUUUAGAUGAAAAUGUGAAAAAUGUAUUGGGGUGAUUGAUUGUACACAUUUUGAGUUGUUUGACCGAAAACGAAUGGAUUCUAAUAAAAGUCAUCUGUCACUGUACAUUUUUAUGCAAUUAAUUAUGAUUUUUGUUUGCCAUCAAAUUUUCGUUUCGAUCAAAUUCUGAUUAGAGCAAUGCUACAAGUACAGUAAUUUUAAUAUCAUGAUUAACAGCAUUACCACAUACAAGAGGUGGGGCCCACCAUUCAAAUAAUCAUGAGCCCCACAAUUGUGCCGUACAAGUACAGCACUGUACACACAACAUUUUUCUUUUGAUUAUUGUGAUAUGAAAUAUUCAUCUUUAUAGUAAUUAUGCGUAAUUAUUGUAAUUAAAUAUGAAUUAUUCACUAAUCUUAAUUAGCUAAUUGUUUCCCGAUAAUAUUUAAUGCAAUUAUGACUUUGAUUCUACUAUGCAUGCCUUUAUAUGGAUUAAUAUUAUUUGGUUUAAUUAAAUUUUGAUAUAUUUCUUAUAAUUUGUACUCGUUAAUUCUUUUUACUCUUGAACAUAAUUUUAAAUUCGAGUUAUUGAAUAUAAUAAUAUAGAUCCGAUUUACAAUUUAUAAGAGCUAUAAAUAUUCUCAAAGAAUAUUUUUUGUUGCUCUUGAAGUGACACAACACUAUAACUAAUAUUUCAGAGAAAUAUUAUUUGCUCCUUAAAAGUAUGAAUUACUACCUUCAAUAUUUCAAAAAAAUAUUAAUUUAUUACUUUUGAAGAAGCGAUAAUAAAAUAUUUCGCGCUCUUGAAGUGGCACAAGUCUCAAAAAAUUAUAUCUUGAUAUGCUCCUAAAAAAAAAUACAAAUUAAACAAUUCAACACUGGUUGUAAUUCUUGAAGGAAAAUAAUUUAUUUUAGUUUAUUAAUAUUCAAGAAGAAUAUUAAUUUAUCACUCCUGAAAAGCAUACAACUCGAUGUUUCAAUAUUCUCCAAGAACAUCGCAUUAGUGCUUUUGAAAAACAAUAAAUCUUGAAAUACUAAUAAGAUUUGAGAAGUAUUUUAAAGAUAUCUGUUUAGCAGAUAGUAUUAUUAUACACACAAUUUUUAAAGAUGAAAGUACUUCUUUAAAAUUUAACAUUAGUGGAAAAUAAUAUUAAUAAGAUAUUGAGCUCAUUGAAUAUUGUUGAAAACUCCGAAAGAGUUAGUAUUAUUUUAUCAAAUAAUACAAAAUUAUAUAUUGGCAAUACAUUUUAUUCUUGCAAAUUCAAAACAAUUUGCUUAAUUCGAAAGAUAUCCAUUAAAAUGGAUAUUACAUUUAGAAGAUGCAAAAAAAUAAUAUAAAAUAUCUUUGUAUAAUUUUCUUUUUGUAUCUAGCUAGAAGUAGAUAAAAGAAAACUCCCUACACUCAAUUUGGCAUGCACUAUACAUUCAAAUGAUAGAAAUCACAAAUUAUCACGAACCCGAAGUUCGUUGGUCCUAUGUUGACUCAUAUCGAAAUCAACAGUGCAAAAAUUCGUAGAAUUUAGACAGGCAGCAUAACUGUGAUGAAAAUAUUGACAUCUCAUUGUUUCGUGGUCCGAUCGUCCUAAAAUUUGGACAGAAAGUUCACAACUCAUCCUUCUUCAAAUUUUAAUUGUUCCUACCAAAAUUCAAUAGUUCAUUUGUGAGAAAUAGCUAAGUGAAUAGUAACAAAUUUUUAAAUACUAUAAAUUUUUUGAUGUGAGAUUUGUUAACUAUUCAAGAUUUUCUAAAGUUUUCAAAUUUUAGUAUCUUUUUUCAAAAAUUUUCUGUCCAUGUUAUAUGUUUUUAGUUUUUAGAGUAGAUAAAUAUUUUUUAUUUAAUUUUUACUCCUGAAGAAAUACAAUUAUAUGUUAUAUUUGUACUAAAUGAAUACGGUAUUGAUGGUCUAGAAGAAACACAACUAACCUUAUAUAAAUGUUUCAAAAAGAAUUGUCUACUUAUGAAGAGUAUAUUAGUACAAUUUCAAUAUUUUAGAAUAAUAUUGAUAUGCUAUUCCAAAAAAAUAAAAAUAAUAUACAUUAGUAUUCAUAAAAAAUAUCGUAUUGUGUUCUUCGAGAAGCACAAGUUAUACAUAGUACUAUUUUAAAAGAAUAUUAUGAUUAAUUUAAAUAUAUCAACAUUUCUAAAAAAUAUUGAUAAAUUACUUGUGAGGAAUCAUAAUCAAGUAUAUAGUAAUUAUAUGACGAAUUUCAUGUAUUAAAAUACAGAAAUCAUUAAAAGUUAUGUUUUUGAGAAAUACAAGUGAUCUUGACCUUGUUGUAAUUGCAACAUUGUGAAAAUCAUCUGAUUAAUGAUCUGAAUGUUUGAAAACGAGGGGCCACGUGGCUUAAAUACUGGUCUUGGAGAACUUGUUGAAAAUUUAAUUUGUUAAGACUUGACUCGUUCUGUACUUGAAUUUCGGGACUUGAACUUAAACUUGAACUUGAAUUCGAUUUGAUAUGAAGAAAACUUUAAUCUUCUUGGACUUGAUGCGAAUAUGUUUGAUUCGAAGAAGAUUUUGAUCCUGUUGGGGUUCAUCGAGUUUAAGUUUGAGAGAAUUUCUUCAGUAUUUCAUGGUUGCCUUCUUUGCUUUCUCUUCUUCUUGCUUGCUUUUUUUUUUUUUUUUUUUUUUUUGUUGCCUUUUUUUUUUUUUUUUUUUUUUUUUUUUUUUUUUUUUUUUUUUUUUUUAUCCGUGUCUUAUGGACGAUUGGUCCUAACUAUAGAAGAAAAUUUGUGCUAAUUUUGAUAAUCACUCAGUUAUAUUUAACUACAAAUUAAUAAUUGAGUAAUCCUAUUGCAUGCAGCCGCGCAUCUGAGUUGACAUAUAAGUCACCCUUACUGUCACUCUACAGAACUACACAUGAGAUUUUCAUCUUAUACAGCUCCUCGUUCAAUUCUUUCAAAUUCAUUGGAACCCUGGGGUCCAUUCGAUAUUUUCCUUGGGGGACAAAAAAUAAAUCCACUUGAUUUCAGAGUUGGAAAGAUAGAAUAUCACCGCGUGAACAUAACAUUAAGUUACAAAUGUAACUCCCGUUUUGAGCCAACGGUGACCGGUUUUCAAAAAGCACCUUUGGGUGAUGGUUUUUCUAUCCUCUCUCUCACUUGAAGAUAUGAUUAUUUAUUAUUUGUUUAUUCAUUUAUUUAUUUAAAGAGUGAGAUGGGCCUUCGAGUUUAUGAACUUUAGUAAACUUUAAUUUAAUUGAGCUAAUGAUUUAAAUCGGCCAAAUCCAUUUUCUUUAAUUUUAAUUUUCUUUUACGUCUAUAGUAAUAUUUCAAAAGAAUAUUGUUUUGAUAUUAUAGAAAAGUCAAUAUUGUGUCAUAUAGGAGAAUAAAUUUUUUACUAUUCAUAGUAAUUUUUCUUUACUAAAUUAAAGAAAAACAUGCUAAGUUUCUAAAAUGUGUGGUACAAUUAAAAUAAAUACUAUAUUGAACCAGAAAUUAAAUUUGAUUUUAUUAUUUGGUAUGACUAGUUAGACCAUCACUAAAUCAAUAAUAAUAUGAAUUUAAAAAUUCAAAUGGAUAUUCAACAAAGAACCAAAAGAUUCUUCAAUCCAAAAAAUUCCUAUAUAUUAUUUGUUCUCUUUAUUGGACUGAAUUACUUAUAUUUCUAAAAUUAAUUAGAGCGAUAAAUAGUGCCCAUCAUCAUAUUGAACAUCUAGAUAUAAUUUGUAUCUAAUGAAUUUGAUACAUAUAAUAGAUGAUUUUUAUGAUGUUUGCAAUAUGAAAUUUACGAAGUUAUUGCUCAAAGUUUAAAUUGCGAGCAUAAUUUUUGGAUUAUACAGUCAAGACGAUUUGUCUUGUUAAUGCAAGUGACCCUAAAUCUCCAUCUUUUAAUAAAUGUCAGAUGGAAUGUCGAUAAAUGGCUUAACAUUAUUGCUUGUUAAAUGCUUCAUAUUAAUUUAAUUGAAAACAAAAUACUUUUUAUUUCUGUUUAGGGGAUGCUAUUACGCACCAUGUCAAUAUCAUAAUUCUCCCUAUUAUAUUUGGCUUAUAGUUAGAGCCUUACAUCUAAUUAUUUUGAUAGUGCAGUACACGUAAAAUUGAUCCAACUCAAUACAUUGAGAUGAAAAGUAAAGAAUGCUGAGAAUAAAUUUGUAACUUGAACCCUUAUCCCAAAUAGGUGAUAUUUUAUAACGAAGUAAAAAUGAUUAUUAAUUUGAUUAGACAAUUUUCUCAACAUUAAGAGGAGGAAUUAAGAAGUUGAAAAUAAUGUACAAAUGCAUCAUUAUUCUCGUAAAAGAUAAUUCAAACCAGAUGUUCGAAAGAUAAUUUAUUUAGUGCAUUUAUUGACCAAAGAAACCAAUAAUAUCUCACGCAUUAGCUUUAAAUGAUUUAACACGAAUUGAUGUAAUAUGAGGACAAUUUGUUAGCAUUAUAUUUGAUAUAUUUAUGACACAUUGAAGUGUGAUGGUAAUAGGAAUGGCAAUCAGGCUCGUCCGCUUGGAAAAACCAAGCCAAGGCUAGGGUCGAGCCCCAUUUGGGGGUGUCGGACAUAGCUUGAGUCGGCUCAUGUAACUCGUUGGCUCGAGCUUACUAGCCUAUAUUUAAAAAAUAAUAAUAACAGUAAUAAUUUAAAUGUAGCAACACGCUGCCUUUUAAAAGGCAGCCUAGUGCUGCUCUUUUUUUUUUGUUUUUUAACUUAAACAAAAAAUUCAAAACCAAAACCAAAAUCGAGCUUGCUCGGCUCGGCCCGAAAAGGCCUAAGCCAAAAGCUCGAGUUGAGCCUAAUUUUUUUGCUCUGCUCAGGCCCGAAAAAAGCUCAUUAAUUUUACCUGAGCCUCAAGUUUCGACUCAUUGACAUCCCUAGAUGGUUUUCAAUUAUAAUAUAAAAAUCUCCAAACAAAAAUGGAAUAAUUAGUAAAGAUAGUCCCAUUAAGGAAUCAUAUAUUAUUAAUAAGUAUUUAGUCAUAACAAAUUAUAAAACCUCGGGAUAUGUUCAAGUAUCUGAUAUGUUGAAAAUUGAGAUAUAUCUUCAAGUUAUGACGUUAUACAAAAGAAAUAGUUAUGAUAAAAGUAUUUGACAACAUUUUGUACAAGAUGUACAACAUUAUAUAGCAAAGAAUUGAAAUAAAUGAGUCGAAAUAUAUCAAUUGAAGUAAUGAUUGGAUAAAAUAAAAAGAGACGCAAUCCAAAAUUGAAUUUACUAAAGAAACUUAAAGUUUUUGGACUUGCAGUCUGAAAAUCUAAAAGUGUAUACUUAUGUGAAAUGAAAAUAGAAAAAGUAAAGUCGUAAUAUGAAAUGUACAACUUUUUAUGUAAUGAAUUUUGUGAUCACUCGUGAAAGUAGAUAAAUUAUUAUGUGUGGAUGUAAUCACAAAUAUUUUUUAUCAGUUUAAGAACAUCUCUGAGAGAUUCUUUAAAUAUGAGAUAUUCUCUUUUUUAAAAGUUAACAUUUAAAAUCAUGCUCUAAGAUACUUCUUAAAUUAUCGUUUUAAUUUAGAGAGUGGAUUUGACUCUUUAAGUUAAAAUAAGAGAUAGAGAAAAAUAAUAAAUACUUUUGGGAAUAAUUAAGUGUUAAACAUAAAUAUUAUGUUGGAGUACUUUAAAAUUUUAACUCAAUAAAUUUAUGGAUGCUCUUUAAAUGAUAGAACAUGCUUUUUAAAAAUAGAGAGUUUCUUGAAAAUACUCUAUAAAUGUGGGGAAUUGGAUAUACAUAUAAUAAAUUUGGUUAUAGCCUACUCAUCUGACAUGGCUAUUAACGUUACCUUGAAAUGUUUAAUAUGCUUGAAACAUAUAAUUCAAGUGAUAAUAUCAUGAUGGAGAGUAAAUACGUGUUAUAAUAUUUUUUCUUUGAUCAAGAUUUUAUUACUCUUCUAUGUAUGAGACUACUGAAGAGAUCAACGAGAGUUGUUUUCGAAUCAUCAUAUUAUUACAGUCAUUAACAGUUGAUAAAUUUUUCGUAUGAAGACGGUGCUAUUUAAAGAAAUUAACAUACAUGAUAUUAAUAUUGAAGACAUUGACAUACAAGACACAGAUCGCUUGAUACAGGAAUUGAAAUCAAUAUGAGUAGCCGUACUCUUUUUCCUUCAAUCACGUUUUGUUCCGCUAGAUUUUCUUGACAAAGUUUUAAUGAGACAACAUUUUGUUACUCCAAAUUAUUUGUACUCUUUUUUCAUUUGUUAGCAUUUUUGUCUCGUUGAAUUUUUUUCCUGACAAUGUUUCAACGAGACAUAUAUUUUGUAAUAUGUCAUUCAAGGAGAGCGUUGUAAAUGAUAACUACAUUUAUGAAUGUCAAUUAUACCCCAACGGUUCUAAAAAUUAUUAUCAUUGCAUCUCUAAUUCCUCCCUAUAAAUAUGAGGUUGUGGCUAUUAAUAAAACAUACAAAUCUAUUGCCAUCUCACCCUUGUUCUUUCUAGUUUAUAAUAAUAUAUUUAUUAUAUAAUUUUUGUCAUUACUUUCUAGCAGACUUUUUUUUCCCUCCUUCCGUGAGUGGGUUCUUUUGUUGUCUUUCAGGCAAUAAUCAUUGAUUGUGUACCAAGGUUUUUAUUUUCAUUUUCAAUAAUGAACUGUUGCUAUCAAUCCAACAUUUUUUGUACAUAAUGAUCAACAAAAAAAGUUGUUCGAAUUCCAUAUCUAAUUUCUUAAAAACAAGUAGUUUUAAGUUUUAUGACAUUUUUUACAAAAUCCCCAUUUAUCGUAGUUCAAUUGUUAUUCAAUGUCAUCAAAAAUUGGAGACACGAGUAAAGACCAGUUUAUUGGAAUGUUCAAUAAAGACAUUCGUCAUGUCAUCAAGUCAUAUAAAGCGUAACAAAAGCAUGGAGAGAGUAGAUGGUUGGUUUCAAUUUCAAUUUCCAAGUACAAGACAACCACAUUGCAAAUACAUUAUAAUUCACUUAUAUAUAAAGGCAAAUCAGAUAAGACUACCUCAAAUUAUAAGUUGCUCAUAUUUCUCAAUAUCCGUCUACAACUUCAUUUCGAGUAGGACAUCUCUCCUUACACUUUUUGGCAUUUCAAAUUGAACAAAAGGGCAUGUUCUUCUAUUGCCAUUUGAGUAAAAAUAUAGCGAUCAUAUAGAUUAUAAAUAAACGAAAUGUUUUUGUUUUUGUUUUUGUUUGUUUUUUUUUUAAUAUAAAUUAAUUUAUGGGCAUUUAGGUCCGCCUUCCUUAGUCUUCCAAUUAUUGUAACAAGGGCAUGUUUGUUUAUUGCCAUAAGUGCCUGGUGGCACACACAAGCACUUCGCACAGCACUUUUGACAGAAGAACAUGCAUGGCUUCUUAUGGGAUGUUGCUGAGCAACGGUACGUGCAUCUUGGAUUGCAAUCUGCGUCAAUAUUGGAACAAUAAUUUCAUCAUUUUUGAGUUCGACGGUACUCGAUAAUACCAAGAAAUUAAAUGAAAAGUUAAUUUAUCCAAUCAUAUGUAGCAUUUCUUAUACCUCGAGGAUGAAGUCUAUUGUAUCCCUGUCGAUGAUUCAAAAGAGAUCCAAGAAAAUAUGUUAGAUAUAGUGACAAACUAUAGUUCUAAAGAAAACGAAAGAGAAUAAAUGAAAUUGAAAGAAAAGAAAAGUAAAUUUGUUACCUCAACAACGUUGGAUAAUGUAAUCAAUACAAGUAGUGAUAUAACCAACAAAAUGCCUGUAUUGUACGGACGACCUGCCAUUUCUUGUUCUCUAAAAACUGACUUAACUCACUGAAUUACUGAGUAGAAUUUGGAGCCUUUUUAUUGCUAUAGAAUCAGAAUGGGAUCCAAAUUUAUAGGUGUUUCUUGGUGGACGUAUUUUGGGGUUGGGGUUGGGGUGGGGGUUGGGGUUGCGGUGGGGGUAAAGAGAUGCAUUGUUUGAGGGGUGGUAGAAUGUGUGGCGUAGGGAAGAUCCCCCCCCCCCCCCCCCCCCCCCCCCCCUUUUUCUUUUUUNNNNNNNNNNNNNNNNNNNNNNNUUUGGUCUAGUUUUUGCUAAUGAAAUCAAUUGUUACGUUAGAAUUGGUUUGGUUGGACUUUCAAGAAAUCGAUAUUGAACGUCCCAAUUUCGCUUCUAGACGAGAGUGGGGGUACAAUGAUGCAUUAUGUGAGGCACUUUUCUUUUGAUCUCGUCACACGAUUCUCAAUGGAACCGACUUGAUUCCCUUCUCAAGAAACAUGGACCAAAUCACUCAGUGCUCACCAAGUGGUGGGCGGGAUGGGGUGAAGAGAUGCAUUGUUUGAGGCGUGAACAUAGAAAAGAAUGCAAAUGAAAAGUCCAUAAAUAGAUGAUGAAAAUGGGAGCGUUAAUGGCGCCGUGUCUGUUGUUUUGAUUUUGUUUUGUUAUGAUUUUGUCAACCUUUAAGCUUGUUACUUUGUGUGCUUUAUUUCUUUGGCUUGUAAAGCAAUAGUGUAAUAUUUCAUUAAUAAUUGUUUUUUUUUUUUUUUGUCUCAAUGCUGUAAUGGAUUUUCAUUUAGAAUAUCACAAUCUUAAUGAUUAAUGCAAUCCAACACAAUCUUGAAAAGCAAUGCAUGUGGUCAAUCUAAAAUUUAUAUGAAACGCAGAUUCGUUUGUUGUUGUAUUAAUUAAAGAAAUACGAUACUCAUAAAUUUUGUCUGUUUUCUUUAAAAAUUAAUUUACUUGUACAAUUGUGAUUGAUAAUGAUGGAUGACAACAUCGAUGUUGUCAAAAUUUGGACCAUUCACUUAAAAAAUAGUUUUUGAAAUUGAUGAACGUGAUAUUGUCAAGUAUGAUUAACAAUCAAAAUUAUAAAAAGGGAUUGUACAGAUAGAGCGAUUGUUUCUUUAAUAUUUUUGACUCUAGUUCCCGAUAAAAUAAAUUGUUGUAGUUUGUUCAUGCAUUUUGUAUGACUUUUUCACACGUUUAAGUAGAAGUCAUCUACCAAUGAACAUGCCUUUUAUACAAUGUUGUCAAAAUCAAAUCAAAUCCAAAUGCUCGACUGAAAUUGAUUAGUUUAUUCCUAAUUGACUGUAUUUAAUUAAUAUUUUUUAAUUAUUGUGUCAACGUUUGACCCUUUUCUUUUCCCUCUAAUAGGUUAAAACAAGGAAAGUAAUUAAUCUACUUCAAUAAACUUGGAAUAAAAUGUUACUAAAAAAUAUGCCGAUUAAAAUCUAAUUAGUUUGACAUAAGUACAAGAUAUUUGAUUUAAGAUAUUACAAUAUUUGUAACAUCGAAACGAGUGAAAUAAGAAAAUUGGUUCAUUUAACUUUUUCAAUGGUAUAGAAUAUUGCAGUUUACAAUAGUACUUACUUCUAUAAUGCCCUGAAGCUACACAAAGAUUCCCAUUUAAAAUCAAAAUCAAAUAUACAGCCCCUAUUUAGUUUUGAUAAAAAAAAAAAAAAAGUUUUUAGUGAAUUUUUAUUUUAAAAAAAUGAAAAUAAUGUGUGUACAGCACUUACAGCCCUCUCACGAAUGUGUGGGCCGCGAUUAUUUUAAUUACAAGCUCCACUCCUUGUAUGUGAGAGGACUGCCAACCAUAUUGUCAAAGUUGUCAACCAUACAAAAAGUGUAGUUAAAAUUAAUUACUGAUUUUGACUUAAAUUUUAAUCUAAAUAUUUAGUUUUACAAAUACGAGCACAAUAUACUUUGUAUUUGAUACUCUAUUUGGAAUAUAUUUUUCAAAACUUAUUUUUAACCUUAUCUAACUUCUAAUAAAAAGGGGAAUGAAGUCUACUAUUCAUGCAAUAGUAAAUGAAUCUAAUUUUACUAUGCAUGAUAUCAUUUUUUAUUUUCCAUUUUAUUUAUGUUAAAUAAAUAUUCUUCCACAUAUUAUCCUACUAGCAUUAAAAAAAUAAUUAUGUCAAACAAAUGUUUUUCCACAUAUCAUGCCACUAACAUUAAAAAAAUAAUAAUAAUUUUAGUAAAUAUAAACUGUCAUGAGAGGAAAAAAAAACUCUUCAUACAUGAGUUUUAAAAAAAAUAAAAAAUAAACUCCCCACACAGUGCGGAGAGAUGGCAAACCAUGUGCGGAGUAUAGAAGGAAAAACAACUCUACGCAUAGUGCAGAGAUGACAAACCAUGUGCGGAGAGUUGGCAAACUCUCCGUACGGUGCGAAAUAAAAAAAAACUCUCCAUACAGUGCGGAGAGAUGGCAAACACCAUGGCAAAACUCUCCGCACAAUGCGGAGAGAUGACAUUCUGUGUGGACACUGUCCUCACAAAGUGCGGGCUCUCCAUACAGUGCAAAGUAAAAAAAGCAAAAAAAAAAAAAAAAACUUCGCACAGUGCGAAGAGUUGACAAAUUCUCCGUACAGUGCGAAAUUAAAAGAAAAAAAACAUCUCCACACAGUGACUGUCACGUGCGUUGCAAGAAUUUUGCAUUUAUCGUAUUUUUAUUAGUGUAUGAAUUUUAAUUUUUUGGAAAGUUUUUGAAACAAUACUUAAAAAUAUUUCCAUGAUAUAAGAAAAUAAUUGCAAAUUAUUUUUACAAUUGUAUAAUAGUAUUGUGUCAUCUAGAAAAAAUAUACUUGUAUAUUUCAUAUUUGAAUAAGAAAUAUAUGAGAUCAUACAAAUUAUUUUGUUUGUAUUCUUUGAUAGUGUUGAUAUUAUUGAGUUGAAUGUGAAGAUUAUAUUUCUAGAUUUUGUGUAAUUCAAUAUUAGAAAAUUGAAAAUUGAGCACCAUAUUCAUAUGCAUUUAUAUUUUGUGCUUCAUAUAUAUUUAAUAUUUAUAUUAUGCUUAUGUUGAAAAAAAUAAAAAUCUGAUUUUUUUUUGAAAUUCGAUUUGAUAAGUGAAUGUACGGUGUUCUGCAUUCUUGGUAUUAGUAAGUGCAAAAAUCGAUAUAUAAAAAUACAGUAAGCUGCAAAUACGGUAGACAGCAUAUACGGUAAAUUGUAAAUAUGGUAAGUAGCAUAUACGGUAAGUAGCAAAUACGGUAAGGUGAAAAUACGAUAAGUUAUUUGCAAAUACAGUAAGUUGCAAAUACGGUAGGCAACAUAUACAGUAAGGUUCAAAUACAAUAAGAUGCAAAUACGGUAAGUUGUUUACAAAUACGGUAGACUGAAAAUAAGAUAAGCUGCAAAUACGAUAGACAGCAUUUGCGGUAAGCUGCCUGCAAAUACCGUAAGGUGCAUAUAUGGAUUUAUAAUUUGUUAUAAAUGUAUAAAAUCUAUUUAAUAUUGAAUUUCUUAAGUAUUAACUGUACAAUUCAAUAUUGUUUCCUUUUUUAUAAUUGUAUUUUCGAGAAUUAAAAAAAUGGUUAUGAAAUUAUUAAUUUUUAAAUGUGUUUUUUUGUUGAAAAGAAAAAUGAUUUUUUUAUGUUAUUUGUAAAAAAAAAAUAUAUUGUAAUUUUAUUAGCGCAAUAAGAAGAUUUAUUAUCCAUUUUUAUUUUUUGCAUUUUGUGAAAAAAUUUGUUUAUGGUGAUUGACAAAUAUACUUUUACACACACACAUCAUGCCAACAAUAUAAAAAAAGAAUAAUAAUUUUAAUAUAUAUAAACUCCAUGAAACACAAAAAAAAUCUCCGCACAUGAGCAAAAAAAAAAAAGACUCCGCAAAGUGCGGAGAGAUGGCAAACUAUCUGUCCGCAUAGUGUGAAGAGAAAAAUAAAAACUCUCGGGAUUUUAUCUGCAAGUUCCAAGAGGUCUUUUCUCAAACAACCUUUGAGCAAUGCAUUGAAUACUUUAAUUCCUGGUCUACAACCCGAAAGUAUAAUUUCGUUGAAAAUUGUAUCCACUUCUAAUGUCCAAAAGCUGUUAUUAAGCAAGUGUAAAAUAUUGAAUUUGGAUGGUAUCCUAAAGCCUCCUUUUGUGAAAGCAAUGCCAUUGUACUAUCAAUAUCCCCUUCUUUGCACAACUCACAUAUUAUUUCAUUCUAUGAUUUGCAUGCUCAGAAAUUGAACUGUGACCGAAAUUUAAUGAAGACAUUAUUGAUUUUGAGCCAUGUUUUUCAACUCUGUUUCAUUGUAUAUACGAAAAAUUUACAAUAUUGAAAUUUGACUUGUAAUUAAGGAAUUUGAAAACAACUCUCCGUACUGUGCGGAGAGUUUUGCCAUGGUGUGAACCAACUCUCCGCAUUGUGCGGAGAGAGUAAGUUUGUCAUCUUUCCGCAUUGUGCAGAGAGAUUUUUUUUUACUUCGUACUGUGUGAAGAAUUUGCCAACUCUCCACACAUGGUUCAAUUCUCUCCGCACCUUUUUUUAUUUUUACUCCGCACUUGGUUCAACUCUUUUCGCACUGUGCAGAGAAUUUUUUUUUCAAUUUUACAAUAUUUAAUUAAACAAAUUUAUAAAUAUAAUAUUCACAUUCAAUUCAAUCAUAUCAACACCAUCAAAGAAUACAAACAAAAUAGUUUGUAUAUUUCUUAUUCAAGCAGAUUUUUUUUAGAUAACAUAUUGCUAUGCAAUUGUAAAAAUAAUUUACAAUUAUUGUCUUAUAUCAUGAAAAUAUUUUUAGAUAUUGCUUCAAAAAUUUUUUAAAAAAAUUAAAAUUCAUACACUAAUAAAAAUCCGAUAAAUACAAAAUUCGUGCAGCGCACGUGAUAGCGACUAGUAUUCUUCUAAUGUGCAUGAAACCAUAAUUUAUUUCUUAAUUGUUAAUCGCACAUUUUUCGUAAAAUAAUUUUUCACAAAACUUAUUUUAAAAAAUCUACAACAAAUAUGCACUAAAUCAAAAGAACGUUAAACAUUGAAUUUCAUUAACUUUCUCAUUUCCCUUUCUCUGAAAUGUGCUAAAAUUUUUCAUAUGAUCUAAAAUAAACGAUUACAAGAUCGAGGAAGAUUUCAUAAUCAAUAUAGAUUAAUGUGAAAUAAAAGCCAAGACCUCAUGGAAUUUAAGCAUCAAUUUUUUUGAACAUAAAUACAAGUUGCAACAUAAAUAGUAAAUACUAUUAACUAGUUGUAUCAAGAAAUUUCUUGGCAUUGUUUUUAAAUUUUUUAAGAGGUUCAUUUGAAUUUUUGUUCAAUUGAUUAUGCCAAUAUACAAAUCGUGCAAGACUAUCAAAUAAUUCAAACUUAAACUCUUUUUCUUCUUAAGUAUGACUAUCUAUUAAACACAAGCAAAUGAACAAAAAUAUAACAUUAGAAGACUUUGUUGAACUCACAUAAAGUAUUAUACAAUGCUUUAAAAACCAACUUGAUCAUCAACCCAAAAAAAGGUCAAGGAUCAAGAGUCAAAAAGUUCAACUAGGGUCGAAUUGGGAUCGAACCGAAUGUAGUAAAUACAUAAAAAAUAAAAUACUAUGAAAACAAUAAUUUUUUUCAUAUUAAUAAUUUGUUAAUUAGAUUCAUUAUUUCAUAGUUUCUUAACAUUUUUGUUAUGCUAUUAUUCCAUAUUGGAAGUUUAUGAAACCAUUGAAGAGAAGUGCAUCUGUAAAAUGCACUAUCGCACAUUGAAAGUUUAUAAAAUCAUUUAAGAGAGGUGCAUUUAUAAAAGGAACAUCUCAUCCAAUAUUUCUACAUGGGCCUUUGAAUUGUUGUUUACGAGACCCAUUCAUGAAGUUGAAAAUUUUCAAAUUAAAAAAAGAAAGGGAAAACCACAAAUCGAGACUGGUUCAUCGGUUUACAAUUAAACCGGUGGGUUUGAUGGGUUUUUAAGCGGCUUAGUUAUAAGCGGUUAACUAGACAUGAUUGACCUGGUUUUACCGGUUGAACCAGCCGGGCCAGGCCGUUUUGAUAACAUCGAUAUUAUAUCAUUUGACAAUUCAUUCAGGACAAUGCUACCUGUACAUAAUUUUUUACACACGGCCUUACACACCCUUCACUUGGAGGGGGCCCACACACAAUAAAAUAUUUGUGGGUCCCCUUUCAUGUGAGGAGAGUUUAAAGCUGUGUGUAUACCUUGAGAUGUAUAUAUAGUAUUAUUCAUUCAUAAAAACCUCAUAAGUAAUGCAACUAAAGCUAAUCCUUCAAUUAUUCAAUGCUUGACUUAUGUGCGCACAUGCAUGCAUAGUCAAUUUAAUCAUUACGAGCUUUUAGGAUGGUUAUCUCCUGACACUUAAUAAUCAAAUAUUUUCUUUUCUUUUUCCUCGUGGGAUUCAUACCCACAAACUUUUUUUUGUCCCAAUCAAAUAUUUAAGUUGUAUAUUUUAUGGUUGAUUUUAUAAUACUAAGUCAUUUUCCUCUCAAAUUUGGUUAGGUUUUAUCAAUGAAAGUCACUGUCUCGAUAUGUGAUGGUUCUCUUUAGAUUUGAAUGUUUCAAUCUCCAAGCUUCAAUUAGGAUAAUAACCAUCACUGGAAAUCUAAAUUUCAAAUUAAGUAUUCAACGCUUAGCCAUAUAAUGACAAUGUUUAUAAUUGUUCUGCCACAGUCUCAACACACUUUGAUAUAUAUAUUUUUCUUUUAAUUUGUCUCUUCUUCCAAUUUUGGGAUCUUUCCUUUAGUUAUCAAAUGUAGUUUUCACUAUACAUUGCAGAUAACCUUCUUCAUUGAUAGAUCGUCUCCUAAACAUCGAUGAUAAAUUGGGCAAAAAAAAAAAAAAACAUUCUAGAAAAAUAUCCAGUGAGUACAAAAUCAACACAUAUGUACUUCCAACAUCGGGACAACCACUCCCAAAGCAUUCCUUUCAACAAGUCAUUUGCACUACAUAAUUUAAUCUUAGAUUAUAAAGAACUAAGUUCAUUACAUAUUCUAUAAAAGUAAUCAAAUCAAAAAUACAUAAAAGCAUCAUGACUAUUGUGCUCAAUAUAAUAUUACUUCACACAAUCCAAAAAAUAUUUGGGUGUGUGGGGUUGGGUGCAAAUUUUAUUUGAUUUUUGAUUUAAUUAUUUUAAUUAUUUAAAUUGAGAAAUGUAAAUUUAGUAUUUUAUCCUUUUAAAAAUUGGUUGAAAACAACUUUUCUGGUCAAUUAACGGUGGAAUGGAUGGAUUCCAUCUAUUUGUCUUUCUACUGCAAAGAAAUUAAAUGUUUAGGACUGUGAGGGACAUAAAUAAAAAGUUUGGAUAUUAUCUAAAAUUAAUUGAAAAAUAUUAGCAUUUUUAAAUUUUGGCCCUAAUUAGUGUAUUUUUAAUGCUUAAAGUAACGAAAUUGAAUGGUAGAUAGUAUUUUGCAAGGUUUGAGCUAUCUAUGGGGAUUUUCACCAAAAAUGAAAAACUAAAAGGAUAUUCCUCAAAGACGGAACUGUCAAAAAGUUUAGAGUGAAUUACCCUUAAAGUCCGUUUGAUAGCAAAGGUUAAAAAGAUACACUAAUUCCACGUAAGUUGGGAAAGAAAAAAUCACCAAAAUCAUAAGAAUUCGAUUUUUAUGAAAUUGGCCAAAAAAUAUUCUUUAAGUGUUUGUACCUUGAAAUUUGAACUUCAUUUUCACUUUCGUAUCAAAUAGUUAAGGUAGAAAAACGAAUUCAUUUCCAUGAAAUACGAAGUUAUCAAUUGGAAUAAUUUUGCUUUUUGCUCUACUUUUUAUUGUACCCCCAAAAUGCCACGCGUGCCCUUAGUCCCGUUGGGCUCUUUCCUAUCACAAAAUUAUAGUAUUCGCUAGAAUCACAAUGAACUAUCCAGUAGCUUUCACGCAGGCCAUGGAAUGGAUGGAUUCCAUCUAUUUGUCUUUCUACUGCAAAGAAAUUAAAUGUUUAGGACUGUGAGGGACAUAAAUAAAAAGUUUGGAUAUUAUCUAAAAUUAAUUGAAAAAUAUUAGCAUUUUUAAAUUUUGGCCCUAAUUAGUGUAUUUUUAAUGCUUAAAGUAACGAAAUUGAAUGGUAGAUAGUAUUUUGCAAGGUUUGAGCUAUCUAUGGGGAUUUUCACCAAAAAUGAAAAACUAAAAGGAUAUUCCUCAAAGACGGAACUGUCAAAAAGUUUAGAGUGAAUUACCCUUAAAGUCCGUUUGAUAGCAAAGGUUAAAAAGAUACACUAAUUCCACGUAAGUUGGGAAAGAAAAAAUCACCAAAAUCAUAAGAAUUCGAUUUUUAUGAAAUUGGCCAAAAAAUAUUCUUUAAGUGUUUGUACCUUGAAAUUUGAACUUCAUUUUCACUUUCGUAUCAAAUAGUUAAGGUAGAAAAACGAAUUCAUUUCCAUGAAAUACGAAGUUAUCAAUUGGACCUUAGUAAAAAUAAUUUUGCUUUUUGCUAUACUUUUUAUUGUACCCCCAAAAUGCCACGCGUGCCCUUAGUCCCGUUGGGCUCUUUCCUAUCACAAAAUUAUAGUAUUCGCUAGAAUCACAAUGAACUAUCCAGUAGCUUUCACGCAGGCCACCCCCCGCUUCUUCACCAAAUGUCGACCACCAAAAUGACACCGUCCGCUGCCGGACUCUCCGCCACAAUCAAACAUCUCAGCUGCCUUUCAUCAUCACGGACCUUCUUCGCUACCUCCAUUAGAUUAACCCGACCCGGAAUUGGAAAGAGGGCGAGAAGCCUGACCGUGACAAUGAGUUCAAAACCGUCCGACCCGCUUGAAGUUUGUGCUAAGGCUUCCCUCACCAAGCCCAACAAGCUCGGCGACUGUGAGUGAAAUUGAAUUAUAUUGUUUAAACAUGGAAUUCAUUUGGGUUUUGUUUUCUUUUCUGUAAUUAAGUUUAGUUCGCAGAAGAAAGGAGUACAAUAGGAUGUUUGGCCAAGCUUAGAAAAUCACUAAUAAGUAAUUUUAUAAUUCGGAUUAGACUUGAAACCACUUUGUUGUAAGCGGAAUGGCUUCGAUAGUUGAGAAUCCAGCCAAAUAAAGAUGAAAUAUGGGCAAUAUGAAAAUAAUGGAUCACAAGCAAAACAAGAUUUACAUGAAAACUCGAAUCCGGGAAAACCAUGAGCAGAAGUGGUGAAUUCAUUAUAAUCAAUAGUAUGGAGUUAUAAAGUAUCUUUUGGACCAAUAAUUAAUUGGAUAAUUGGUCAGUUUUAAUAUGUGUUGUACACCACAUAUUUAAUAUAAGGUGAAAGUCCCGAUACAAUAGGUAAAACCAAUAAUGGAGAAUUUGUGAUGAAAUAAGAGUUAAAUUCACCUUGGACUCCUUUAAAACAUCGUCAAGUCUACUACCAACUCCCAAUAUUUCUCCAACAAUAUUUCCCAUUAAAU